rnacentral:rRNA from 1 species
GACGAACGCUGGCGGCGUGCUUAACACAUGCAAGUCGAACGAAGUGGCGAACGGGGGAGUAACGUGUAAUCAACCUGCCCUUCAGAGGGGGACAACAGUUGGAAACGACUGCUAAUACCGCAUACUGAAGGAGGGGAACGGGUCUGAUUAGCUAGUUGGAGGGGUAAGGGCCCACCAAGGCGAUGAGCCGUAGCCGGUCUGAGAGGGUUGACAGCCACCAUUGGACUGAGACACGGCCCCAGCUCCUACGGGAGGGAGCAGUGGGGGAACUUCCGCAAUGGGCGAAAAGCUGGCUGAGCAACGCCGCUGGGGUUGAUACAGCCUUCAGGUUUUAAAGCUCUGUUCAUCGGGACGCGGUACCGGAAUAGAAAGCAACGGCUAACUACGUGCCAGCAGCCGCGGUAAUAC